UAGGGAAUCUUCGGCAAUGGGGGCAACCCUGGCCGAGCAACGCCGCGUGAGUGAAGAAGGUUUUCGGAUCGUAAAGCUCUGUUGUAAGUCAAGAACGGGUGUGAGAGUGGAAAGUUCACACUGUGACGGUAGCUUACCAGAAAGGGACGGCUAACUACGUGCCAGCAGCCGCGGUAAUACGUAGGUCCCGAGCGUUGUCCGGAUUUAUUGGGCGUAAAGCGAGCGCAGGCGGUUUGAUAAGUCUGAAGUUAAAGGCUGUGGCUCAACCAUAGUUCGCUUUGGAAACUGUCAAACUUGAGUGCAGAAGGGGAGAGUGGAAUUCCAUGUGUAGCGGUGAAAUGCGUAGAUAUAUGGAGGAACACCGGUGGCGAAAAGCGGCUCUCUGGUCUGUAACUGACGCUGAGGCUCGAAAGCGUGGGGAGCGAACAGGAUUAGAUACCCUGGUAGUCCACGCCGUAAACGAUGAGUGCUAGGUGUUGGAUCCUUUCCGGGAUUCAGUGCCGCAGCUAACGCAUUAAGCACUCCGCCUGGGGAGUACGACCGCAAGGUUGAAAC
rnacentral:rRNA from 1 species